rnacentral:rRNA from 1 species
GCGAAUCUAAGUCUUUGAACGCAAGUUGCGCCCGAGGCUUGACCAAGGGCAUCCCUGUCAGAGCGUCACC